rnacentral:rRNA from 1 species
CCUACGGGGUGCAGCAGUGGGGAAUAUUGGGCAAUGGGCGCAAGCCUUACCCAGCAAUGCCGCGUGAGGGAAGAAGGCUUUCGGGUUGUAAACUUCUUUUAAGAGGGAAGAGUAGAUGACGGUACCUCUUGAAUAAGCCACGGCUAACUACGUGCCAGCAGCCGCGGUAAUACGUAGGUGGCAAGCGUUGUCCGGAUUUACUGGGUGUAAAGGGCGUGUAGCCGGGCAGGUAAGUCAGAAGUGAAAUCCCAAGGCUUAACCUGGGAACUGCAUUUGAAACUGUUGGUCUUGAGUGUCGGAGAGGCAAGCGGAAUUCCUAGUGUAGCGGUGGAAUGCGUAGAUAUUAGGAGGAACACCAGUGGCGAAGGCG